rfam:Solanum tuberosum cultivar DM 1-3 516 R44 scf00039_11, whole genome shotgun sequence.
AAUGAUGGAGAUGAUGUUUUCCUUUGUGAAUAUGAAUAUGACAUCCACUGGCAUAGUUUCAAGCGCAUUUCUGAGAUU